GACGAACCGUCCGAACGUUAUUCGGUAUCACUGGGCUUAAAGGGUGCGUAGGCGGCUAGGUAAGUUGGGUGUGAAAUCCCUCGGCUCAACCGAGGAAUUGCGCCCAAAACUGCCUGGCUUGAGGAAGAUAGAGGUGAGCGGAACUUAGGGUGGAGCGGUGAAAUGCGUUGAUAUCCUAAGGAACACCCGUGGCGAAGGCGGCUCACUGGGUCUUUCCUGACGCUGAUGCACGAAAGCUAGGGGAGCGAACGGGAUUAGAUACC
rnacentral:rRNA from 1 species